UCCCGGGAGAUCCAGUGGUAAGGACGUGGCGUUUUCACUGCUGUGGCCCGGGUUCAAUCCCUGGUCAGGGAA
rfam:TPA: Bos taurus chromosome 6, whole genome shotgun sequence.